GAAUCCCGUCUUUGGCACGGAUGCACCAGGGCUUUUGUGAUGCGCUCUCGAAGGGUCGAGUUGUUUGGGAAUGCAGCUCAAAAUGGGUGGUGAACUCCAUCUAAAGCUAAAUAUUGGCGAGAGACCGAUAGCGAACAAGUACCGUGAGGGAAAGAUGAAAAGCACUUUGGAAAGAGAGUGAAACAGUACGUGAAAUUGUUGAAAGGGAAACGCUUGAAGUCAGUCGCGUCGACCGAGACUCAGCCUUGCCUCGGCUCGGUGUACUUCUCGGCCGACGGGUCAGCAUCAAUUUUGCCCCUCGGAUAAUGGCGAGAGAAAGGUGGCACCCUCACGGGUGUGUUAUAGUCUCCCGUCGGAUGCGAGGGUCGGGAUUGAGGAACUCGGCACGUACCGUGCUUAGGAUGUUGGCAUAAUGGCUUUAAACGACCCGUCUUGAAACACGGACCAAGGAGUCUAACAUGCCCGCGAGUGUUCGGGUGGAAAACCCGUGCGCGUAAUGAAAGUAAAAGUUGGGACCCCUGUCGUGGGGGGCACCGACGCCCGGACCAGACCUUCUGUGACGGAUCUGCGGUAGAGCGUGCAUGUUGGGACCCGAAAGAUGGUGAACUAUGCCUGAAUAGGGUGAAGCCAGAGGAAACUCUGGUGGAGGCUCGUAGCGAUUCUGACGUGCAAAUCGAUCGUCAAAUUUGGGUAUAGGGGCGAAAGACUAAUCGAACCAUCUAGUAGCUGGUUCCUGCC
rnacentral:rRNA from 1 species